AUCGCUGAAGGCGAAACAAGGUUCCCUGGUAGACCAGUUCACCACCUUCCAGUUCACAUUUUGAUUGCUUUUAAUGUUCUGCACUCUGUGCCCCCAGCUGUUUGCAUAUUGGAGUCUACAAUGCAUGCACCUGUCUCUCAAAAUGCAGCCGCCCUAUUCCCCACCCCACGGAGAGCUGCAUGGUUGGCAUCAGCCCCCUGAUAGGAGACAAUUCCUUAGCCAAGUGCUCAAAACUCCUGGGUCAGAGCUCUCCCCAUAGUUUUAUUGAGGUAUAAUCGAUACACCGCAAAAGCGUGCAAAUAUGUGAUAUGCACAUUUGAUGAGUUUGGACAGACAUCUACAUCUGUGACACCAUCUCACUUCGAUCAACAUAAUGAAUUUACAGAGAGAGAGAGAGACGCAGAGACACAGGCAGAGGGAGAAGCAGGCUCCAUGC